AGAGAUUGAACAUAAGAGUUUGAUCCUGGCUCAGAUUGAACGCUGCGGCAUGCUUUACACAUGCAAGUCGGACGGCAGCACAGAGAAGCUUGCUUCUCGGGUGGCGAGUGGCGAACGGGUGAGUAACAUAUCGGAACGUACCGAGUAGUGGGGAUAACUGAUCGAAAGAUCAGCUAAUACCGCAUACGUCUUGAGAGAGAAAGCAGGGGACUUCGGGCCUUGCGCUAUUCGAGCGGCCGAUAUCUGAUUAGCUAGUUGUGGGUAAAGGCCUACCAAGGCGACGAUCAGUACGGGUCUGAGAGGAUGAUCCGCCACACUGGGACUGAGACACGGCCCAGACUCCUACGGGAGGCAGCAGUGGGGAAUUUUGGACAAUGGCGCAAGCCUGAUCAGCCAUGCCGCGUGUCUGAAGAAGGCCUUCGGGUUGUAAAGGACUUUUGUCAGGGAAGAAAAGGCUGUUGCUAAUAUCAGCGGCUGAUGACGGUACCUGAAGAAUAAGCACCGGCUAACUACGUGCAGCAGCCGCGGUAAUACGUAGGUGCGAGCGUUAAUCGGAAUUACUGGGCGUAAAGCGGGCGCAGACGGUUACUUAAGCAGGAUGUGAAAUCCCCGGGCUCAACCGGGAACUGCGUUCUGAACUGGGUGACUCGAGUGUGUCAGAGGAGGGUAGAAUUCCACGUGUAGCAGUGAAAUGCGUAGAGAUGGUGGAGGAAUACCGAUGCGAAGGCAGCUCCUGGGACAACACUGACGUUCAUGCCGAAAGCGUGGUAGCAAACAGGAUUAGAUACCCUGGUAGUCCACGCCCUAAACGAUGUCAAUUAGCUGUUGGCAACUUGAUUGCUUAGUAGCGUAGCUAACGCGUGAAAUUGACCGCCUGGGGAGUACGGUCGCAAGAUUAAAACUCAAAGGAAUUGACGGGGACCCGCACAAGCGGGUGGGAUGAUGUGGAUUAAUUCGAUGCAACGCGAAGAACCUUACCUGGUCUUGACAUGUACGGAAUCCUCCAGAGACGGAGGAGUGCCUUCGGGAGCCGUAACACAGGUGCUGCAUGGCUGUCGUCAGCUCGUGUCGUGAGAUGUUGGGUUAAGUCCCGCAACGAGCGAACCCUUGUCAUUAGUUGCCAUCAUUCAGUUGGGCACUCUAAUGAGACUGCCGGUGACAAGCCGGAGGAAGGUGGGGAUGACGUCAAGUCCUCAUGGCCUUAUGACCAGGGCUUCAACGUCAUACAAUGGUCGGUACAGAGGGUAGCCAAGCCGCGAGGCGGAGCCAAUCUCACAAAACCGAUCGUAGUCCGGAUUGCACUCUGCAACUCGAGUGCAUGAAGUCGGAAUCGCUAGUAAUCGCAGGUCAGCAUACUGCGGUGAAUACGUUCCCGGGUCUUGUACACACCGCCCGUCACACCAUGGGAGUGGGGGAUACCAGAAGUAGGUAGGGUAACCGCAAGGAGUCCGCUUACCACGGUAUGCUUCAUGACUGGGGUGAAGUCGUAACAAGGUAGCCGUAGGGGAACCUGCGGCUGGAUCACCUCCUUUCUAGAG
rnacentral:rRNA from 1 species